rnacentral:rRNA from 1 species
UACAGAGGGUGCAAGCGUUGUUCGGAAUUACUGGGCGUAAAGCGCGCGUAGGCGGCCCUGCAAGUCGGGUGUGAAAUCCCACGGCUCAACCGUGGAAGUGCAUUCGAAACUGCAGGGCUAGAGUCCUGGAGAGGAAGGUGGAAUGCUUGGUGUAGAGGUGAAAUUCGUAGAUAUCAAGCGGAACACCGGUGGCGAAGGCGGCCUUCUGGACAGUGACUGACGCUGAGACGCGAAAGCGUGGGGAGCAAACAGG